GACGAACGCUGGCGGCGUGCUUAACACAUGCAAGUCGAACGAUGAGGCGGUGCUUGCACUGUUGUUUUGUUGCGAACGGGCGAGUAAUUCGUGCGUGGAUUACCUUUCACUAUGGGAUAAGUCUGUGCGACUGGCCGUAAUUACGGAUACGACCUAUUUUUGCCCGGGUUGUUGGAGGAUAGAGUUCUGGAGUGGUUUUAGUUGGGCUUGCGGCCAAUCUGCUUGCUGGGGAGGUUAUGGUAUCCCACGGCCACGGCUGCUAGCCGUCCCGGGAGGGGGACCGGCCACACUGGGACUACGAGACGGCCCAGACGCCUACGGGAGGCAGCAGUGGGGAAUAUUGCACAAUGGCGGCAAGCCAGAUGCAGCGGUGCCGCGUGAGGGAUGACGGCCUUCGGGGGAUAAACCUAUGUGAGCAUCGAAGAAGCGAAAGUGACGGUAGGUGCAGAGAAAGCGCCGGCUAACUACGUG
rnacentral:rRNA from 1 species